rnacentral:rRNA from 1 species
GACGAACGCUGGCGGCGUGCUUAACGCAUGCAAGUCGAACGAGAUCCAUCCAGCUUGCUGGUGAAGAUCUAGUGGCGAACGGGUGAGUAACACGUGAGGAACCCACCCCGAAGACCGGGAUAACCCUCCGAAAGGAGAGCUAAUACCGGAUGCCCUCACCGGGUCGCAUGGUCUGGUGAGGAAAUGGAUUCCGCUUCGGGACGGCCUCGCGGCCUAUCAGCUUGUUGGUGAGGUAACGGCCCACCAAGGCUUCGACGGGUAGCUGGUCUGAGAGGACGGUCAGCCACACUGGGACUGAGACACGGCCCAGACUCCUACGGGAGGCAGCAGCGGGGAAUAUUGCGCAAUGGGCGAAAGCCUGACGCAGCAACGCCGCGUGAGGGAUGAA